rnacentral:tRNA from 1 species
GGAGUUGUGGCUUAGCGGUAGAGUGCUCGUCUAGCACGUGCGAGGCCUUGGGUUCGAUCCUCAACACCA